CUUUGGCUCACAAUUUUAGCUUGCAGAUCAUCACAGCAAGAGUCAAUAUGGCAGGAACUUAAAAUAAUGACUCACUGCAGCCACAGCUGAGACGAUGGUGUCACCCAUAAUAGCCCUUCUUUGGGAGUCUCUCAACAAACAUGACCCAGUACCCUCCAAACACAAGGCAUUGAGACUAGUACCAUACAGCUGACAAGGAAGACGAUGGGUGACAGCUUCUGUCUCUGACAAUAUUCGUGCCUGUUUCUUUCCGAAGGUGUCUUCAAGCCUUAAUGUUCACCUGCAAAAGCAUGGGCAAAACAGAUUUCCCACAAGUUUCAAGUCAAGAUGAUACCAGAAGUGCCCUGCUCUGGAUUUUGAAGUACUGUGGAGCUGGGCUUCAUCCUUGGAUUUGCUCAGCCUCUUUCUUCAGAGAGAAAGCCUCAUCAUAAAAAACACCCACCCCUCACCAUAUGACACACCCACCCCUUACCAUGUAACACACCCACCCCUCACCAUACAGCAACUUACCCAUUUGACAAGUCUUUUCCUUCAGAGAGAAAGUCCUACCAUACGGGGCCCUCACCUCUUUGACUCAAGGCACAGUUUUGUCCAAACUUCUGAUAUUGAUCCAACAUAAUCUAUCAAUGUACAACAGCUGUGUUGGGAUGCGCGUGACCCAUGAGCUGCAGGUUAGACACACCUGCAAGAAUGUGUGCAUGUUGUGGCACUAAGCAGAUAAGUCCUUUUCUUCUU